rnacentral:rRNA from 1 species
UACGUAGGGGGCAAGCGUUGUCCGGAUUUAUUGGGCGUAAAGAGCGUGUAGGCGGCUUGGUAGGUCUUGCGUCAAAACCUGAGGCUCAACCUCAGUUCGCGUGGGAAACCAUCUAGCUAGAGUCCGGAAGAGGAGAACGGAAUUCCCAGUGUAGCGGUGAAAUGCGCAGAUAUCGGGAGGAACACCGGUGGCGAAGGCGGUUCUCUGGGCCUUACCUGACGCUGAGGAGCGAAAGCGUGGGGAGCGAACAGG